AUUGAACGCUGGCGGCAUGAUUUACACAUGCAAGUCGAACGGUAACAGGCCGCAAGGUGCUGACGAGUGGCGAACGGGUGAGUAAUGCAUCGGAACGUGCCCAGUCGUGGGGGAUAACUACUCGAAAGAGUAGCUAAUACCGCAUACGAUCUAUGGAUGAAAGCGGGGGACCGUAAGGGCUCGCGCGAUUGGUGCGGCCGCUGUCAGAUUAGGUAGUUGGUGGGGUAAAGGCUCACCAAGCCAACGAUCUGUAGCUGGUCUGAGAGGACGACCAGCCACACUGGGACUGAGACACGGCCCAGACUCCUACGGGAGGCAGCAGUGGGGAAUUUUGGACAAUGGGCGCAAGCCUGAUCCAGCAAUGCCGCGUGCAGGAAGAAGGCCUUCGGGUUGUAAACUGCUUUUGUACGGAACGAAACGGCUCUGGUUAAUACCCGGGGCUAAUGACGGUACCGUAAGAAUAAGCACCGGCUAACUACGUG
rnacentral:rRNA from 1 species